rnacentral:rRNA from 2 species
CUAUCAUUAACUGAAUCCAUAGGUUAAUGAGGCGAACCGGGGGAACUGAAACAUCUAAGUACCCCGAGGAAAAGAAAUCAACCGAGAUUCCCCCAGUAGCGGCGAGCGAACGGGGAGGAGCCCAGAGCCUGAAUCAGCAUGUGUGUUAGUGGAAGCGUCUGGAAAGGCGCGCGAUACAGGGUGACAGCCCCGUACACAAAAGCGCAUGUGCUGUGAGCUCGAUGAGUAGGGCGGGACACGUGGUAUCCUGUCUGAAUAUGGGGGGACCAUCCUCCAAGGCUAAAUACUCCUGACUGACCGAUAGUGAACCAGUACCGUGAGGGAAAGGCGAAAAGAACCCCGGCGAGGGGAGUGAAAAAGAACCUGAAACCGU